UACGUAGGGGGCAAGCGUUGUCCGGAAUUAUUGGGCGUAAAGCGCGCGCAGGCGGUUUCUUAAGUCUGAUGUGAAAUCUCGUGGCUCAACCACGAGCGGCCAUUGGAAACUGAGGAACUUGAGUACAGAAGAGGAGAGUGGAAUUCCACGUGUAGCGGUGAAAUGCGUAGAUAUGUGGAGGAACACCAGUGGCGAAGGCGACUCUCUGGUCUGUAACUGACGCUGAGGCGCGAAAGCGUGGGGAGCGAACAGG
rnacentral:rRNA from 1 species